AUACGUAGGGUGCAAGCGUUAAUCGGAAUUACUGGGCGUAAAGCGUGCGCAGGCGGUUUUGUAAGACAGAGGUGAAAUCCCCGGGCUCAACCUGGGAACUGCCUUUGUGACUGCAAGGCUAGAGUACGGCAGAGGGGGAUGGAAUUCCGCGUGUAGCAGUGAAAUGCGUAGAUAUGCGGAGGAACACCGAUGGCGAAGGCAAUCCCCUGGGCCUGUACUGACGCUCAUGCACGAAAGCGUGGGGAGCAAACAGGAUUAGAUACCCUGGUAGUCCACGCCCUAAACGAUGUCAACUGGUUGUUGGGUCUUCAUUGACUCAGUAACGAAGCUAACGCGUGAAGUUGACCGCCUGGGGAGGACGGCCGCAAGGUUGAAACGCAAAUGAAUUGACGGGG
rnacentral:rRNA from 1 species